rnacentral:rRNA from 1 species
AUUGAACGCUGGCGGCAGGCCUAACACAUGCAAGUCGAGCGGCAGCGACUUAACUGAACCUUCGGGGAACGUUAAGGGCGGCGAGCGGCGGACGGGUGAGUAAUGCCUGGGAAUAUGCCCUGAUGUGGGGGAUAACUAUUGGAAACGAUAGCUAAUACCGCAUAAUCUCUUCGGAGCAAAGAGGGGGACCUUCGGGCCUCUCGCGUCAGGAUUAGCCCAGGUGGGAUUAGCUUGUUGGUGAGGUAAUGGCUCACCAAGGCAACGAUCCCUAGCUGGUCUGAGAGGAUGAUCAGCCACACUGGAACUGAGACACGGUCCAGACUCCUACGGGAGGCAGCAGUGGGGAAUAUUGCACAAUGGGGGAAACCCUGAUGCAGCCAUGCCGCGUGUGUGAAGAAGGCCUUCGGGUUGUAAAGCACUUUCAGUAGGGAGGAAGGUAGUGUAGUUAACACCUGCACUAUUUGACGUUACCUACAGAAGAAGCACCGGCUAACUCCGUGCCAGCAGCCGCGGUAAUACGGAGGGUGCGAGCGUUAAUCGGAAUUACUGGGCGUAAAGCGCAUGCAGGCGGCCUGUUAAGUCAGAUGUGAAAGCCCGGGGCUUAACCUCGGAAUUGCAUUUGAAACUGGCAGGCUAGAGUCUUGUAGAGGGGGGUAGAAUUUCAGGUGUAGCGGUGAAAUGCGUAGAGAUCUGAAGGAAUACCAGUGGCGAAAGCGGCCCCCUGGACAAAGACUGACGCUCAGAUGCGAAAGCGUGGGGAGCAAACAGG